AUGGUCAUCGACAUUUCACAUUCUAUUCACAAUCAGUGAUAUUGUUCAUUCGGAUUUAAUGAUCAGGUAUAGGAGGGUUGUAACAUUGUGAUUUAAUGAUCAGGUUAUAGGAGGGUUGUAAUGUUGUGAUUUAAUGAUCAGGUUAUAGGAGGGUUGUAACAUUGUGAUUUAAUGAUCAGGUUAAAGUUAUAGGAGGGUUGUAAUGUUGUGAUUUAAUGAUCAGGUUAAAGUUAUAGGAGGGUUGUAACAUUGUGAUUUAAUG